rnacentral:rRNA from 1 species
UACGUAGGGUGCGAGCGUUAAUCGGAAUUACUGGGCGUAAAGCGUGCGCAGGCGGUUUUGUAAGACAGAGGUGAAAUCCCCGGGCUCAACCUGGGAACUGCCUUUGUGACUGCAAGGCUAGAGUACGGCAGAGGGGGAUGGAAUUCCGCGUGUAGCAGUGAAAUGCGUAGAUAUGCGGAGGAACACCGAUGGCGAAGGCAAUCCCCUGGGCCUGUACUGACGCUCAUGCACGAAAGCGUGGGGAGCAAACAGGAUUAGAUACCCUGGUAGUCCACGCCCUAAACGAUGUCAACUGGUUGUUGGGUCUUAACUGACUCAGUAACGAAGCGAACGCGUGAAGUUGACCGCCUGGGGAGUACGGCCGCAAGGUUGAA